AUACGGAGGGUGCAAGCGUUAUCCGGAAUCAUUGGACUUAAAGGGUCCGUAGGCGGACUAUUAAGUCAGAGGUGAAAUCCCACAGCUCAACUGUGGAACUGCCUUUGAUACUGGUAGUCUUGAGUUAUAUGGAAGUAGAUAGAAUGUGUAGUGUAGCGGUGAAAUGCAUAGAUAUUACACAGAAUACCGAUUGCGAAGGCAGUCUACUACGUAUAUACUGACGCUAAGGGACGAAAGCGUGGGGAGCGAACAGGAUUAGAAACCCCAGUAGUCC
rnacentral:rRNA from 1 species